CAACUCUAUGCGGUGGAUCACUCGGCUCGUGCGU
rnacentral:rRNA from 1 species